rnacentral:rRNA from 1 species
CCUACGGGUGGCUGCAGUGAGGAAUAUUGGUCAAUGGCCGGAAGGCUGAACCAGCCAAGCCGCGUGAAGGAUGAAGGUGCCAAGCAUUGUAAACUUCUUUUGUAUAGGGACAAAACCAGGCUUGAGAGCCUGCACGAGUGUACUUUAAGAAAAAGCAUCGGCUAACUCCGUGCCAGCAGCCGCGGUAAUACGGAGGAUGCGAGCGUUAUCCGGAUUUAUUGGGUUAAAAGGGUGCGCAGGGGGAAGAUCAGGUCAGUGGUAAAAUUAAGGGGCUCAACCUCUUCGUGCCGUUGAAACUGGUAUUCUUGAGUGAAUGAGAAGUAUGCGGAAUGCGUGGUGUAGCGGUGAAAUGCAUAGAUAUCAUGAAGAACUCCGAUUGCGAAGGCAGCAUACCGG